rnacentral:lncRNA from 1 species
UCCAAAAAGACAAAACAAGAAGCAAAAACAUGAGCGACCCAAGCGGCCAAUCCUCAACAACAGCUGUCAGAGGAGACAGCAACGGCGGUGGUAAUAGCGGCGGCGGCGGCUCGUUUGCUAGUCAGCCGCAGAGAGCAAAGGUGAGGACGCAAGUGUGGGCUGGAGUUCUCGGCAUCACCAACAAAUAAUUUUGUUAUUCUUUUCACUUUUGACAACAAAAUGUCUAAGUGAAAAAUGGUGGUGGUGAACUGGUGAUUAUUAUGCUUUUGAUCGUUGUUCUUGUUAACUUGAUUGUGUCUAAAUAAACCAGCGAGAUCAUGAUCAUUAUCGUCAUUGUAAUGAGAUUUUGAAAAUUUUUUCUUUCUUUCAACUUCUGCAACUAAUUUUAGAAAACCCUAAACAAAAUUACAAAUAUUUAUUGUGUAGAUAAAAAUUAGAUUUCUCUCAUUUGAAUCGAUGUAUAAAGCGAUAUCAGAAACAAUAUCAUUAAUUGAGGGUCGAGUAGGCAGGGGCGGUCCUUAUAUUUCUGGGGCCCUGGGCGAAUUUUUUUUUUUUGUAAAAGGAUAAUAAAAUCGGGGGCCUAAUUACAAUAAAUUAAAAAAUUAGGGGCUUAUUUGUUAAUAAUUUUUUGCUGAUUUUUUUUUUAAAAAAUAGGGGCCCUAGGCGGUCGUUUCAUUCCGCUCUCCUCAGGACCGCCCCUGCGAGUAGGUACGUUGAUAUCGCUUGCGCAUAAUUUCAAAGUAAACUAAUGAGAAUUUGAUGCUAAGUUAAGUAAGCUACGCUAGUUUCUCAGAAUCACAUGGCCAUUAAAAUCAGAAGGAACGUGCAUUAGUUUAUAUAAAAGACCAUUUUAAAAGAAUUUUUAAAGGUAAAAUAAAACAGACUAUAAAAAUAUUAUAUGGUGUGUGGAGUGUUUUUGAAUGGAAUAAUAUCCACUAUAAGUAAAAAAUAAUAUAUAUAUAUAUAUAUAUAUAUUUUUUAAAUCCACCAUAAGUGCCAUUAUCCACAACAAAUAUUUAUAUAUAUCUCUCUAGCUAAAUUUUCACAGAUUAUGCGAGUUUACGAAGAUGCCUCUACACCAUAUGAAUAUGGUUUAGCCGUUUGUAAUUGAUAAGAAUUCAGUUUGAUAUAGAUGUACAUGUACCAUGAACGUCUACUAAUUUUCUAAAAAUUGCAAAAAAAUUGAUCAGAUGACAAAAUAAACAAUUUGGCAUACAAUGGACUUAAAUAGACCAAGUUGGUCUGGCCAAGUAGGCAACUACGAAUAUUUUAGAACUUUUAGCCUAUUAGAAAAUGCAUUGGGCUAUCAUAUUGGCUAUGUUUGAGCUAGGCUUGUCAGUUGGGUUGGACCACACCCAAAUAGAUAUGUCUAAGUGAGCGUUUUUUUUUCUGGGUUCAAAACACUCACACUCAUAUUCAGCCCACACCCAACAGCACUCAUACCCAGUAACACCCAUCACCCAAUUGAACACCCAAACCCGUCCAUUUAUAAGCAAUUUAAGUAUUAGUCCAAAUCUAUUUUUUUUUUCUGAACACCUACCUAAAUCUGUUUAAAUUCAAAUGGAAAAUUUCUUUAUAAGCAGCAGGGAAGAAAACCUUCAAUCAAAAACGAGAUAAAUAUGAGUUUUAUAAUCUAAACAAUUCAUCAUCAUCAUCAGAUUCAGAGCAAGAGUAAAACGAGAUAGAUUCAGAGCAAGAGUAGAACGAUUCAUCACAGAUUUACAAAACUGGAUCGAAGCUAAAAGCCAAAAACCCACAACAUAGAAACGAGAUGGAUGAUCGAAUCAUGAAACAUACCUGAAAUCGCGAGAAGAAAAAGUAGAAAAUGGAGAAAUCUUGUACGGAUUAAGAGAAUCAAAGCCGGAGAAGACGAAUCGAGAAGCAAAGAUCGAUUUUGCCAGACCGAUCGAGAAGAAAAGUCGAAAAGAAUCGCAAAAUAUUUUUUCCCCAAAUUGACUAAACUCUAGAAAUCAAGUGUUUUGGGCCAACCCAACAUCCAUUUGAUUUGGACCAGUUAACCCAUGGACAAAGUAGGUCUUUAGCCCAGUUAGACCAAAAGUUAUUUGGGUAUUACCAUCACCUACCCAUAUUUGUUUUGAAUGGGUGAACCCAUGAGUGGCCCAACCAAUUGACACCCCUAGUUUGAGCAAACCAUAGAAGGUCUCUAAUUCACAACCGGCUAGAUCCUUCUUGUAAGCGGUGCACCUCGUAGUUUAUACACCAAACAGAUUGAAUUAUUAUUAUUUACAUAUUUCUGCUUUAAUCGAAUUUAAAUUCAAAAUUUUAAUAAUUUAGACCACCUUAUAUAUAAUUUUAAGAAGUAAAUAUAGAUUAAUUAAGAAAAGGCCUAACAUUAUUAAGAUACAAAUACAUGUGAAAGUUUGAAAUAAUCUAUUUAAUGAAAAAAAUAUACCGUACACUUAUUAUGUCUUAAAAAUUGAUAGAUAUAUAUAUAUAUAUAUAAUAUAUACCAAUUUAAAAUUGAAAACAAAAUGUUUAUAUAAAAAUAAACAAAAACAAAACCUCCUGCGGUUGCGCGAGCCAAGAUCUAUUUAUGAUUAAAGAAAAGCAUUUUUGUGGUCCGCUUUAGGCGCUAUACGAAUCACAGACCGGCACUGAUCACAGAUUCACAGUAGACAAACUCUAACAUAACUAACCUUCAUAACGCACACGUACUGUUUCUUGUAUCACUUCACAAACUAAUACAAAACACCCUAUAUCUCCAAUCUCUCCAUUUUUUUACUAUGUACGUGAGCCCAUGACAAUAUCUUGAAAACCACAUCUUCCAUACUAAUAUCAUAACGUGUUUGGUAACGAGGAGAAUAAAAGAGCUCCACUAAGUUGCCAUUUACAAGAUUAAUUCUAAGUUCUAACAGAUAAGUCAGUCAAUAAACUCCACAGCCUCUGCAUGUUUCACUGAAAAAUAGUACUGAGGAAACAAAACUGACUUCACACUUCUUGGUGUCUUCCAUAAAUGUUCGAGAACAUUACAGCGUUCUUAAGUUUGGUGUGUCAAAUUAUAUGAACGUCACCACAACGAAAUCCGAUUAAUUGACAUUAUUAGAAAAAUUAAUUCUAAUCAAGAUUUGUUUGCUAGCAAAUAUAUGUAAUAUUAUAUCUCGAAGUUGUAUAAUCAUGAAACCUCCGUAAGAAGCUCGAUCCAUACAAGCUCAAGCUUCUUACACCACACCUGAUGGAAGACGAAGAACAAGCUGUCCACCCAUUAAACUGUUUCCAGAAAACAGACAGAAGUUCCAAGUCUUUAGGCAUUCAAAGGUUUUCAACAAUAGUGUCUAUAAUUAAGAUCCUUCAUUAAUUUUGUUUUACCUCUGGACAUAGUAAUAACAGAAAUCUGCAAGAAUGAAGGUUUGGACGAUUUCAGAGAGAAGGACCAUUAUAGGCCAUAAUCCAUAUCCUAAUGCAGUCAGUAACCGCCCUCCCGAAUCCAACACCUACACGCAC